rnacentral:rRNA from 1 species
ACGAACGCUGGCGGUGUGCUUCACACAUGCCAGUCGAACGGUAAGGCCCUUUCGGGGGUACACGAGUGGCGAACGGGUGAGUAACACGUGAGUAACCUGCCCUCAUCUCUGGGAUAACAGUCGGAAACGGUUGCUAAUACUGGAUAUGAGCUUGCAAGGCAUCUUGUGGGUUGGAAAGAUUUUUUUUGGUUGGGGAUGGACUCGCGGCCUAUCAGCUUGUUGGUGAGGUAGUGGCUCACCAAGGCUUCGACGGGUAGCCGGCCUGAGAGGGCGACCGGCCACAUUGGGACUGAGAUACGGCCCAAACUCCUACGGGAGGCAGCAGUGGGGAAUAUUGCACAAUGGACGGAAGUCUGAUGCAGCAACGCCGCGUGCGGGAUGACGGCCUUCGGGUUGUAAACCGCUUUCAAUUGUGACGAAGCUUUUUUGUGACGGUAGCAGUAGAAGAAGCACCGGCUAACUACGUG